rnacentral:rRNA from 1 species
GACGAACGCUGGCGGCGUGCUUAACACAUGCAAGUCGAACGGAAAGGCCCUGCUUUUGUGGGGUGCUCGAGUGGCGAACGGGUGAGUAACACGUGAGUAACCUGCCCUUGACUUUGGGAUAACUUCAGGAAACUGGGGCUAAUACCGGAUAGGAGCUCCUGCUGCAUGGGGGGGGUUGGAAAGUUUCGGCGGUUGGGGAUGGACUCGCGGCUUAUCAGCUUGUUGGUGGGGUAGUGGCUUACCAAGGCUUUGACGGGUAGCCGGCCUGAGAGGGUGACCGGCCACAUUGGGACUGAGAUACGGCCCAGACUCCUACGGGAGGCAGCAGUGGGGAAUCUUGCACAAUGGGCGGAAGCCUGAUGCAGCAACGCCGCGUGCGGGAUGACGGCCUUCGGGUUGUAAACCGCUUUCGCCUGUGCCGAAGCGUGAGUGACGGUAAUGGGUAAAGAAGCACCGGCUAACUACGUG